rnacentral:piRNA from 1 species
GCAAGGUGGGUCUCAGAGGUGAUCGGCGA